AUUGAACGCUGGCGGCAGGCUUAACACAUGCAAGUCGAGCGGGGUGAUGGUGCUUGCACUAUCACUUAGCGGCGGACGGGUGAGUAAUGCUUAGGAAUCUGCCUAUUAGUGGGGGACAACAUCUCGAAAGGGAUACUAAUACCGCAUACGUCCUACGGGAGAAAGCAGGGGAUCACUUGUGACCUUGCGCUAAUAGAUGAGCCUAAGUCGGAUUAGCUAGUUGGUGGGGUAAAGGCCUACCAAGGCGACGAUCUGUAGCGGGUCUGAGAGGAUGAUCCGCCAAACUGGGACUGAGACACGGCCCAGACUCCUACGGGAGGCAGCAGUGGGGAAUAUUGGACAAUGGGGGGAACCCUGAUCCAGCAAUGCCGCGUGUGUGAAGAAGGCCUUAUGGUUGUAAAGCACUUUAAGCGAGGAGGAGGCUCUUUUGGUUAAUACCCAAGAUGAGUGGACGUUACUCGCAGAGUAAGCACCGGCUAACUCUGUGCCAGCCGCCGCGGUAA
rnacentral:rRNA from 1 species